UGGUACAUGUCCUAAAGUUCUAAAGAUAAUAAUAAAGGAUAAAUAAAAAGCGACAAGACCUUAGACCCAAAAGAACAAAAUACAACAUUAAGGAAAUAAACUUGGGCUUCUUAGCCCCCCAAAUUUUCAACUUCUCCGAUUUGAAUCUUUUCGACUUAGGACCUGUACGCCUUUUUUUGGUUGUCUGACUCGAUGAAGUAACUGGAACCUUUAUGGCUCAUCUCGGGUGCGAGAAAGAGGGGAAAUGGAG
rnacentral:misc_RNA from 1 species